CAACACCGGCUUUCUGGGAGGGGUGUGCGGGGCUCAAGGGGCUGCGGGGAAGGCGGGCGCUGCUGAAACAAGAGGGCGAGGGAGGCAGGCGGGCGACGAUCUGGGAAGGGUACGUGUAACCGUCGAGGGGGUCAUACGGCUCUAAACGCCGCUCGGCAAAACUUCAAUCGCGCCGUGCAAUUGGUGCUCCCCUCUUCCCUUCACGUGCUCCGCUCCGAGUGGAUUCUUCGGUGACUCCAACGGGAUUUAGCGCAGGGUGUGCCAGGAAGGCCGAGACACUGGCAUGGGCAAAGCAGGAGACUGCAGUGGACAGCUGGCAUCACUGUACGGAGCGAGAGGGGCACAUCAGAGUGGCAGAGGGAAAGUGAAAAGGAGGCAGCGGGCACGCGUGUGCAGGGAGCCAAUCAGAACGUGCGCACCAAGUCACGGGGCCAACCACUCGUGUGACUAAAAGGGCAGGCAGGCAGGCAGGCAGGCCGGGGCAUCGUUACCUCCUCAGACCGCCGAGCGUUUGGAGAGGGCGGCAUCACUGCGGCUCGGCUGAAAUGGGCUGACAGUCCAAGAGGCUUUCAGGGAGUUUUAAGGGGGAUUGUCCGAAAAGCCCCUCCAAGUUUGUCUUUGCGGGGAAUUCUGGAAGCAACUGAAAAGGGUGAACUUGGCAUUGUAUUUCGAUUGCACCUUUCAUAUGCCCUUUAAGACUGGGUGAGAUUGUAGUUGGGGCAGAAGCCUUGUCACCCUUUAAGAAGUGUCGGGAGGAAUAUUGGGACAGCUGAACAGACGAGUGACAAAUGAAGUGACUGGUCUCCUGUUCUUAUGUUCAGCUGGCAUUAAGAAAGUUUGAUGGCACAGCACAGCUGGCAUAACCGUUGUGGGAGGUGACCCGCUCAUCAUGAGACCCCCACAAUGUGAUGCUUGACAUCGGCGUGCGUACAAAUCCCCCAUUUAGGAGUCGUGUUGUCACUGAAGGUCUUAGUUGCACGAGGGACUUGACGGGACCCAAAUCUUCUUGAUGCCCACCGGACUGAUGUGCUCUCCACAAGUUUACACCGAGCGGCCCCGCUGUGACGGGCUGAGGCGACGCCAUCUGAAGACAUUUGUCCUCCUAAAGUGAGCGAUUCUCCAGAUGUCCAAUCCAACAGAAGCUAAAGAAGCGCUGAAGGGGGUCCCAGAGGGCACCACAUCCACCUAAAUUCCGUGACGUGACAAUCGUGUUUCCUGGUGGCUUGACGAGCUCAUCGCCCGCCGAGAAGCGCUCAUGGCGGCCGCUCAGGCCGCGGGCAGCAGGGAGGUCUCGUAUCCCGCCGAGCUGAGCAGCGUCCCGGCCAGGAAGCAGCACAAGCUCAACGUGCUGAGGAGUAACCCGGAAUGUCUGUACGUGGACUACGUGCACGCGGGCGCCUGGUUAAGAGCAGCCUCAUCUUCUACACGGAGCACACGGCAGCCUGGCACUCCGCCUUCUGCGGCAAGUUCCCCAAUAAAAGGAAAAGCGCCAUCUGCAACGGGCGCCAGAUCACGGUGAGAGACGACUCGGACCCGCCCAGCACGGUGCUCGUCAUCGACCUUUACCACAACGGCACCGUGCUGGUCCAGGGCAGCAAAGCCAGCUUGGCCCACUUCGAGGAGAUGUUCCAGAGCCUCCGAGAGGAGGUGGACAGGGAGAGGAGAGCCGCCGAGGCCCCCCGUCCGGACCGCAGGGACGCCGCCGCCGCCCCCCGGGGCACCGCGGAGCACAUGCAGGAGAGCCUGGCUCUGCUGGAGCUGGAGUUUGCCAAGUUCCGAGACCUCAUGCUCGGCCGACUGUCCGACGCCGGCCUCACCCAGCAGCUGCGGGACGAGGUGUGCCAGGUGCAGAGGGAGAGCCGGCUGGCCAUUGCCGACCUGGUGGGCAGGCUACGCGAGGUGCAGCAGGACAACGAGGCGCUGAAGCUCAAGCUGGCCAAAGUCAAGCAGGAGAUGGAGGGCCGAGAGAAGGCCAUCGGCAAAGAGCUGCAGGCUCUGAGGGAGCAGCUCGGUCACCUGGAGUGGGCACCCGGCACACCCCGACUCGGCGCGGCCAGCCGGACCCCCUGCGGCUCCACGCUCCGCGCCGACGGACCCCGGCUCGGCCCCGAGCACCCUGGCGAGCUACGCUUCCCAGAAGCGCAGCCCGCCCUCCCCGAUGCCCAGCCGCCCGUCGACCCCCCGCCCAAAAAGAGCUGCGCGGAGGUGGCGCUGCUCAUCGACUCCAACGGCAAGUACAUCGACACCAGGAGGCUCUUCCCCGGCCGUCGGGUGACCAAGAUUCACUGCACCAACACGGAGCGGGCCAUGCAGCUGCUGAGCCCGGACACGCUGGGGAACCCCCGCUGCAUCAUCGUCCACACUGGCACAAAUGACCUGGCGUCCUUGCACCAAAACACCGCCAAGGCCGUGAAGAGGGUGGCGGAGAGAGCCACCCUGGAGUUCCCCGAGGCGCGGGUCGUCAUCUCCACCCUGCUGCCCCGCGCGGACACCCCCCUGCACACCAUCAACCUGGUAAAUGCCGAGAUCGCCAGAGGCUGUGCCAUGCUUCCCAACGUUCACCUGGCACACCACCCGGCCGUAAACCCCUGGCACCUUUGUGACAGAGUGCAUCUCAAUCAGGAGGGGGUGAGGAUUUUUGCAAAGACGCUUGUGGACGCCGUGCUGUGCCGGGAGCCCAACGGUCAGCGGACCACCAAGAGGGCACAGCGGCACACGCAGCCCUCCCACUCCUCCUCGCACGUGGGCCACGGCGCGUCUCGGCCGCGCAGCUCGGCCCGCUCCUACUGCGUCCGGACCGUCAGCACGAGGUCCAGCGGCCUCCAGCAGCACGCGGGCCGUACCUCGACGACGCCACAGCCACCCGCCUCCAGUUCCAGCGAGCUGGGCGAGAUCAAGAAGCUCCUGAACAUUCUCUGUGCCAGGCUGCUGAACUGAGGAGUCCCGUUACGGCCUUCAGACUUGAGACUGUGGCUGCUGAUUGCGUCGUCACCUCCAGGAGUCCCGGGGAAGAUGAACGGACGGACAGACAGACGAGUGACGCGACUCGACCUCUCGGCGCUUUCACACUCCCAGACCCUCACGUUCUGACUGCCAGACCACCGUACUGACUCGGCCCCAGCUGGACCUCCAUAGAACUAAGGAUGGGACUCCGCGGUGACGUGCCCUGUGACAGGGGACAUCGGGCAUUGUGGGUUUGCUAUUCCUUGAAGACCCCUGGCCAAAGACCCCUUUUCACUUUGAUGUGGUAUAACAAUACAAAGACAUUUGUAUUGGCCUUUUCAGAGGAAGCCCGACUGCUCGCUGCCAGGUGCCAUCCUGUUCUGGGUGAGACCGUGAAAGAUCGGGAGUCAAAUCCAAAAGUCAAGCCAAUCAGCCUGCAGUUUAAAUCGCUAGUGAAAAAUCGAGACCCCCAAAAACGAGCAGAGCUGUAAUACCAGGCAGGUAGUUAUCUGCAGACAUCGUCCAUUAGACUUGUGGCACUGAUGGCAUCAAACGCCAGUCUUCCACGUAACAGAAGGGCCACCAAGAGGCUUCACUGGCCAGGCCUUCCUCGCCUGAAUGGACCUCCUCCUCCUCCUCACUCGGCUGGCCCGUACGCCUCAGGCCUCCACGAUACACGGACUGGAAGCAUUCCAGAAAUCAAACAAAAGGAGGAAUUCCCAUCAAACCUCCGCUUGGGUCAAGAAGACAACCCUCAAGCCAAGACUUGUUAGCAAUGAAUUGGCAAAAAUAGAAAAAUAGAAUGGAAAGGGCAAAACGAGGCACAGUCCGAAGCCAACGAUGCCAAGAAUGAAAUCCUCAGCCAUGCAGUUCACCCGGAACUCCACCAAAAACGAAUGAACACCAACUCCUGAGCCUUCUCAGCUCGCGUAUACAGCUGGGGCGGAGCUCGCGAGGGGUGAUGUCAGGGUGGCCCCGCCUCCUGGGGCUCCACCACAAGGACAUGUGUAUGUAAUUAACUGGUAAUAAACACAAUCCACAGAAAUAGUGGAAAAUGUGGACACUCUUCUAAUUCUUCUUCUUCUUCUUCUUCUUUCGGCUGCGGGGCGCUCAGAGCAACUUUUUUUUUUUCCCCGUAUCUCCCGGUCGUCCACAUUUUGCAAAUGUGAAAAUAAAUAAUACAUCAAAUACACCCGCUGACCCUGAAAAUAACAGCCGCGCCCUCCUUGACCCCAGUGAGUAGCCCCAUCUGGGCAUCGGCCCCCUUCUUAACAAGCAAAGAUGGCAUUGUGGUGUGAAGUUGUAGGGGGGCCACGUCAGCCGCGUCUCGUCUCAUCACCCCGUGUAAACCAGUAUGUCGUCCCUGUAAGAAGAAACUGGGAGACAACGACCCCCUGGAAACGUCAGAACCGGAGCUUUUCCCGUUACAUCCGGCUCCUUAUGAUUUAAAUGGAAAGGAGGGAAAGAAAGAAAGCAGGGAGAGAGAGAAGGAGGUUCCGCUAAUCAUCAGUUUCUGCUCUCGUCUUCAUCGCGACUCUUCUCACUCUGCUGGAUUAUUGCAAAGGAUUCAUCUCCAGAAACCCCGGCGUUGGACGCCAUCUUCCACCAUACGGUGAGCUCGUUCAGGUGUUUCAUUCGGGAGAAUCAUUUUGGGACGGUCGUUUCCCCGGAAUCGUUUCUCGUUCCUCAUCAUCGUCUCGUUCUCAUUCGUUGUCAUUAUUUGUGUCGCGUGAAGGGACGUCGGAGGAUUUAUUAUUUAUAUUGUGACAGACGGCCGACAUAUCCAGGACGCUAGAUGGCGUCUUCCC